rfam:Schistosoma haematobium scaffold972_42, whole genome shotgun sequence.
AUUCAGCUGACGAGUCUCAAAUAAGAUGAAACAUACGUAGUGAAU